rnacentral:rRNA from 1 species
GGUUGACCUCGGAUCAGGUAGGGAUACCCGCUGAACUUAAGCAUAUCAAUAAGCGGAGGAAAAGAAACCAACAGGGAUUGCCCCAGUAACGGCGAGUGAAGCGGCAAGAGCUCAAAUUUGAAAGCUGGCCCCCUCGGGGUCCGCAUUGUAAUUUGCAGAGGAUGCUUCGGGAGCGGUCCCCAUCUAAGUACCCUGGAACGGGUCGUCAUAGAGGGUGAGAAUCCCGUAU